GAGAAGUUAGUAAAUCUAUUACAUAGCCUUGUCAGGACUAAGUCACAGGUUAAAACCCUGUACAUCUCA
rnacentral:tRNA from 1 species